AGAGAGCAGAGAGAGAGAGAGAGAAAGAGUAGAGAGCAGAGAGAGAUAGCCGAAAAUGAGAAAGACUGAGAAAGAUAAAGUGACACAAAGUAUGACCACGUAUUUACAUACUGUAGCAAUUUACACUCAGCUACAACACUGCACUUUACUGCAAGUAAGACGGUGUAGUCCCUCAUUCGUCCAGGAGUGUUCUAACGUAGAAAAGGUUUCAGUCGUAGUCAUCUGGACACUGUUUUCAGAAUCAAGACGUUUACUGCAAGUGUUCAGCCAGUUACACUGCAGCCUAAUGUGAGAGAGUGUGCCUCUGUAGGCCACUGGCCCCGUACAUUAGUUAUGUGUGGAGGUUAAGCAUUAUUGUUAUUACGUUAGUCUCUGCUUGGUCAGGCCUGGUACAGAGACACACAAGCAGCGCCACCAACCCAGGUGACCUCACAACACUGUCUCCCUCCCCGUCUGUCUGUCUGGCAUCUGGGGACUUUCCUAAAGAGGCCCACCAGGGGUUCUACUGUGUGUGUGUGUGUGUGUGUGUGUCAUUGAGUAGAGUGAAAAUGGAUAGGAAGGCUAUGCUUCUUGAGCAGGAUUAGCAAUAAAUCUGUGUUAUCUUAAAAUGUUAAACAGUUUCAUUAUUUAAUCUCAUUCCGGACCGCCACUCAUCAUUUAAACUAUCAAAACCUGUCAUUGUAUGUUGCAACGGGGAAUUGUGAUUAUUUUCUUUAUUGCAUCUUGUGUUUUGCUGCCAAUUCUGUUAAGGCCCUUCGGUACUUGUCAAUAAAUGCACCCUUUUAGAACAUGUUAUUCUUCAUAAAAAUAAUGUUACGUGCCAAAUAUAGUUUAAGACUUUAUUUUAAAUAAUUUUCAACAUAUUUCUGGCCCACAGGAAACAUAAACCUUGGGCAGCGUUCGAUGGGAAGAGCUUUGAAUCAAUGAACUGCUCUGAACAAAUCAUUUGUGAUGACACAUGCUAGUGGAGAUGAGUGUCUGUGUGUGUCUGUGUGUGUGUGUGUGUGUGUGUGUGUGUGUGGGGGCACUAGGUGUGGUGUUCUUUUCUCUAAGAGUGUAUUGUUACUUUCACUUCCUAGAGGAGGAGGUGAUUAACGGAAGAGUUGGUGACUAAUUUGGGAAAAAAUGUCGUGGUUUGGUUCCGGACUGCAGCCUUGUGACUGGGACCACGGAUGCUCUUCAUUUUCCCUUUCAGAGAGAGAGAGACCACAUGGACUCAGUCAUGAGACAAUUCAACAUGGCUGCCACUGACCCCGCUACCAGCCUGCAGUUUUCUAAUCAAAGUGACCUUUUUCAGCCUUGUAAUGUUUUCUGAUCUCCUUGAUUCCAGGGACAUGGAUAGAGGGGAGGAAAGACUUUUUUUAAAAACAGGGAUUUUGUUUAUACCCACAGUUACUCUUGUGGGAGGAAAUGAGAAAAUAAAAGCGCCUCUGAUUUAAAGGUGGAGGGUAUCUUCCUGUGCUUGCUUGGAGAUGUGUAACUAUUGUCUCAAAGAUUCAAUUAUUUGAUCAUUUGCAAAUCACAAUGACCAGCAGUGGUCUGUUGCUUGUGGGUGCUCUAAUGUUUGCAACAUGGCUGCCUCCUGCUCUCAAAAGCCUUUUCCAUCAGUGCCAGCGAGCAAGAUUCAGGCCUACAGUGAGGGCUAUGAUAAACCUUGCAACACAGAUUCUAUGCUGACAGAGUAGCAGGCAGGCAGGCACCCACUUCCUUCUGCUACUGCCUUCCUCUGGUCACACCUUCUUUGUAACAUUGCGGUUCUCUUUACAAGAAAUUGUUACCAAAGAAGAGGACAAAAAAACGAUCACAUGCCCUGAGCAGCUGAUCUCUGUUUCCUGUAUCUGCAUGUCAGCCAAAAUACUGCCUUAUACAGAAACACUGAGAAGAGGCCCCAGCAAACCAGUUCAAGGACUGAGGGCUUUGUCUUCAGACUGAACAUAAAGCUGACAGGAACAGAGUCAGAACUUUGGCUGGAGUUCAAGCUGACCUCGUUGCUCUAUGCAAAUAUCUGCCACUAGAUGGCGAUGGAGACCAUUACACAGACUGGAUGGAUACUGUAAAGCCCAGAGGGUCUUGUACAGUAAAGAGAGCCCUUGUGGAACAAUUACUGUGAGACUUUUGCCUUUCAUGCACCUUUGAUGACGGCGUAGUGCAAAGUGGAGACUGGACAACAGAUUGAGUGAAAUGAGAACAGCCCCUGUGUUUAGGAUGUGAUGUUUUGAGCUGAAUGAUUAAAAUGAACAUAUUUGAAUAAAUAAACACCUUAAAACAA